CAAUAGCGUAUAUUAAGGUUGUUGCAGUUAAAAAGCUCGUAGUUGGAUUUGUGGCGUGCGCCGAGGCGUCCAAUUUUUUGGUAUUGCCUUGGCCGUGCCAUCCUUGGGUGGAAUCUGUGUGGCAUUAGGUUGUCGUGCAGGGGGUGCCCAUCGUUUACUGUGAAAAAAUUAGAGUGUUCAAAGCAGGCUUAUGCCGUUGAAUAUAUUAGCAUGGAAUAAUAAGAUAGGUCUUUGGUCCUAUUUUGUUGGUUUGCGGACCGGAGAAAUGAUUAACAGGGACAGUUGGGGGUAUUCGUAUUCCAUUGUCAGAGGUGAAAUUCUUGGAUUUCUGGAAGACGAACUACUGCGAAAGCAUUUACCAAGGAUGUUUNCAUUA
rnacentral:rRNA from 1 species